rnacentral:rRNA from 1 species
AUUGAACGCUGGCGGCAUGCCUUACACAUGCAAGUCGAACGGUAACAGGUCUUCGGAUGCUGACGAGUGGCGAACGGGUGAGUAAUACAUCGGAACGUGCCUAGUAGUGGGGGAUAACUACUCGAAAGAGUGGCUAAUACCGCAUGAGAUCUACGGAUGAAAGCAGGGGCUCGCAAGACCUUGUGCUACUAGAGCGGCCGAUGGCAGAUUAGGUAGUUGGUGGGAUAAAAGCUUACCAAGCCGACGAUCUGUAGCUGGUCUGAGAGGACGAUCAGCCACACUGGGACUGAGACACGGCCCAGACUCCUACGGGAGGCAGCAGUGGGGAAUUUUGGACAAUGGGCGAGAGCCUGAUCCAGCAAUGCCGCGUGCAGGAUGAAGGCCUUCGGGUUGUAAACUGCUUUUGUACGGAACGAAAAGCCCCGGGUUAAUACCCUGGGGUCACGACGGUACCGUAAGAAUAAGCACCGGCUAACUACGUGCCAGCCGCCGCCGUAA